GUAUCUAUGGUGUGGCAUUGCAGUAAGAGUGACUUGAAGCAAUCUCAUGCUUCAUGAAAAGAUUCAACAUCUUUUUGAUAAAAGUUAAAAAUUUCAGCCCUUAAUUC
rfam:Ricinus communis cultivar Hale ctg_1100012355014, whole genome shotgun sequence.